GAUUCCAAUUCCUCUUCCUUUUCCUUUUCCUUUUCCGUAUAAUCCAAAUCAGAUCCUGCCACCUAAUGACAUUAUAACGUUAAUCAGUUCUAUUUUGAACCAACUCCUGGGAUUACUUGGGUAAUAAUUCUCUCACUACUAUGCCACAAGUUAUAUAAGAUGGUGCUGGAUACUCAGUUAUCCGAAGAUUAUCUACUUAGAACCUAUCUAUAAUUUACAGUAGCAGUUUUAUCUUUUCUCAAACUUUGUAAAUGUUCCAGUGAAAACUCCAAAGUGCCACAAAGAAUUUCUCUGUAGACCAUGUGCUUUAGUAAUUCUUUA